UUUUACAGAUUCUUCGAGAAAUGUACGAAAUCGUUGACUUUGAGAAGUGAUUUCAAAGUUGCGUAUCCGCGCUCCGGGCGGGACGAUGACAAAGAACAGAGCUCCAAAAAAAAUAUCAGGGUGUGAAAUGAAUUCAACUCCGGCUAUCACCUCAACCUGGCGCCGAGGCAUGGACUCCCGCUGUCGGAUUGCACGACAAUUAUUUUCAAUUAAAUUGAUUUAAUUUAAUUAAUUUUAAACCCUAAUUCCUUUUGCAAUCGUCCCAUUAAAAAUUACGUAUGGGUCAUCAUUGGUAGAGAAAAAAAGAGAAAAUACUAGAGGUACGAUUAGGUGCGAUUUCAGCGUCAACUUUCAAAAGUGAUUCGAAUCAGUCAAAGUUCUCAAAGUGCAGUUUUCCGAUAAGACCUUGUUAACAGUGUAGUAACUGAUUUGAUGAAUGGAUUCUGCCGUUAGCUAAGUAACUAGGACUCAUUUGAAUCAUCUUCGUAGCAUGCGUAAGAAUCAGCUAAUGGUAUAUCGAAACGAAUUUUUAUAAUUUAGAGUGAUGCGGAAAAGGGAUUGUAAAAGACACAACUCUGAUUUACUCAUUUUUUUUCAGACCCCUAAGCGCUAAUCCGGCCCUGAAAAUAAGGAUUUCCUGAUGAUUGAAAAAUAUUAGAUUCAAAAUAGGUUUGUGCUCUUCUUUGAAAUCUCUAGUAGAAGCGUUGGCAUUCUGCUCAGCUUCAUGAGCCAAAAAGCAUGUGAAAAAACACAUUGUGCCGUUCAAAAUAAAAUCUUGGUGAAAUUUUCAA